rfam:Mesocricetus auratus contig222537, whole genome shotgun sequence.
UUGGAAAUAGCUUAGUUGGAAAAGCACUUGCCUUGCAAGCAUGGAGACCUGAGUCUGAUCCUAAGUGUCCACG